rnacentral:rRNA from 1 species
UUCGCCAGGGAACAACGAGCUUUAGCUUAAAACCCAAAGGACUUGGCGGUUCUUCAGACCACCUAGAGGAGCCUGUUCUAGAAUCGAUAUUCCCCGUUCAACCUCACCCCCUCUUGUUAUUUCCGCCUAUAUACCGCCGUCGUCAGCUUACCCUGUAAAGGUAAAAUAGUAAGCAAAAUUGGUAUAACCUAAUACGUCAGGUCAAGGUGUAGCUUACGAGGAGGGAAGAAAUGGGCUACAUUUGCUAACCUAGCAAACACGAACGUUGCACUGAAAUAAGCAUCUGAAGGAGGAUUUAGCAGUAAGGGGAGAAUAGAGCGCCCCCCUGAAAAUGGCCCUGAAGCGCGCACACACCGCCCGUCACUCUCCCCAAAAACCCAAAACAAAUAAAUAAUAAGAUAGCCAAAAAUAAAGGGGAGGCAAGUCGUAACAUGGUAAGUGUACCGGAAGGUGUACUUGGAAAAACC